CGGGACGGGUGAGUAAUGUCUAGGGAAACUGCCUGAUGGAGGGGGAUAACUACGGGAAACGGUAGCUAAUACCGCAUAACGUCGCAAGACCAAAGAGGGGGACCUUCGGGCCUCUUGCCAUCGGAUGUGCCCAGAUGGGAUUAGCUAGUAGGUGGGGUAACGGCUCACCUAGGCGACGAUCCCUAGCUGGUCUGAGAGGAUGACCAGCCACACUGGAACUGAGACACGGUCCAG
rnacentral:rRNA from 1 species